rnacentral:rRNA from 1 species
CAGUCGCCGCGGUAAUACGUAGGUGGCAAGCGUUGUCCGGAAUUAUUGGGCGUAAAGGGCUCGCAGGCGGUCUCUUAAGUCUGAUGUGAAAGCCCCCGGCUCAACCGGGGAGGGUCAUUGGAAACUGGGAAACUUGAGUGCAGAAGAGGAGAGUGGAAUUCCACGUGUAGCGGUGAAAUGCGUAGAGAUGUGGAGGAACACCGGUGGCGAAGGCGACUCUCUGGUCUGUAACUGACGCUGAGGAGCGAAAGCGUGGGGAGCGAACAGGAUUAGAUACCCCGGUAGUCCCUGUCUCUUAUAC